AUAAAACUAGGAAUUAACAUAAUUUGAUUAACAUCAAUUCCGUAAUCACAAGUAAUGUCCAGGCAACAGGCUGUUGUCUUCAGGUUGUAACUUCCUUAUGAAUCCUUUCCCAACUUAUCUAGGGAAAUCUUUAUCUUAAUUGUGGUAAUAGGCAACUGCAGCAAAACAUUGCACAGUACCCACAAGAUGUCCAACCCAUUGUGUAACAUGCUCCUCUUUGCCAUAUAAAUACAAGGACAUUUCGAGCAUCUCUCCAUCCCGCCCUCUCUUGAAACACCAUCCAAUCUUUCAGUCAUGAAGAUCUUUGCCUUCCUUACAGCUAUUCUCUUCUUUGUGCUGAUGGCUGCUCCAGCACUUGCGCAGACAUCAGAGCGCGAAUGUCGCAAGAUGGGUGGCAGCUGCUAUGAUGGCUAUUGCCCAGGAGGCACACA